AAUGAAUUGCCGAAAUUGCCCUUGCUUAGCUUUGUGCAUUUGCUUGCCAUCUGUAUUGGAGAAUACAGCUGUUUCUUCAGGCCUUAGCUUCCUUUGACUUCCAGCUAAGGUGGGUUGAAGCUUGGCUGCUCUUUCUCAUUUCCUCAACUCAUUCACCGACUUCAUUCGCUCUCUGCCAGAAACCUAGAGAGAGAAACCUUCGACUCCUUCAGCAAUCACCGAUCAUCCAUUCGAUGAUGAUUAUGGGGCUUCGGUUCUUCUUUGGGGUAAGAUCUUUAUCCUUUUUAUAAGCAUCUAAUAUCAAUUUGACAAUCUAGGGUAUAACUAUAAUUUUAUACAAGUCCACUAAUCCUUUUUUGUGCUAUGUUUUUUUUGGUAAUUCUUCUUGAUUAAUAAUCUGAAUUUCGAUUGAGAAACCGAAGGAUGAACAGCCUUGCCCCCAACAUUAAUGUUUGGUACGAACUGGAAAUUAUGAGGUUUUUUUACAUAGUCAAAAAAAACCUGACCUUCUUCUCAAGGAUUCGGAUAAUCUCAGAGAAGCUCUCAAGUACUCUGCUCAAAUGCUUACGGAGCUCCAAAACUCUAAACUUUCUUCUCCUCAUAAGUAUAUCGAACCGUCUAUGAGAGCUUUCAACGAAUUAAGGAAGCUGGAAUGGUUCUUUAAGGAUGAGAGCAGGCAUGGCUUUUCAGAUUUUGAUCUUUACGAACUUGUUCAACAUGGUAGCAACGUGCUACGGAGGCUGUUUCCCAAAAUGAGAAAGUACGAGGCAUUGCUCGUCUCAAAGAGGAGCCUCCCCCGGCGCUGUGUUUUGCUGUAAGUACUGUGCAGGGAGGGGGCGUGGUGGUUCAGAUAGACAGCAGGUUCCGGUAUGUGAGAAGUGCAAGAAGGUGGGACACGAGACCACCAAGUGUUGGUCCGAUAAAAUCUGCAAUUUCUGUAAAAAAAAAAGGGGGCAUGAAGAGAACCGUUGCUAUGAUAAAUAUGGCUGGCCGGAAGGGACUGCUGGCAGUCGGGGGGGGGGGGGGGGCAGCCUUCGGCAGGUCGUGGCGGUCCCGUGAAGGCUAAUGCGGUUGCAAGUGGUGGCUCGAACUCAGAGGACACAAGUUCUUUUGCUUCGGGUCCGUUUUUGGGUUUAUUUGUUCGAUUGUUUUUUGAUUUUUAAUGGGUUUAUUUGUUCUAAUUAAUUUCGUUUUUUGGGUUGAAUUUUAGUGCCUUCUUCGAUUGUGUGGUGGUUUUUUUUGGGUUGAAUUUGAGUGAUUUAUGUUUUUUGGGUCGAUUUUUUAUAUUGUUAGUAGCAUUAUUGUCUGAUUUGUAACAGAAUUGUUGAUCUCCAGGUACAAUUCUAUCUCCCCUUUCUCUUUCUUGUUCUAAUUGAUUCUAUUUUCAUCUAACCUUUAAUAUGAAUGUAUGUGUUUUUUUGGUUUUGUUUUGUUUAUUUCUCCUCUAUUUUCCUUCUUCUUUUUUUUUCUCAUCCUGCAGUUUCUCUGUUUUUUUCUUCUAAAAUAGGCGGAAGGAGUAAGACGGAGCAAGGUUUGGUGGAUUCGAGUUUGAGCUGAAGAAACUCAGAUAUUAUUGCAUGGUCAAUUUGUUUUUAAUUUAUUUAUUUAAUUUCUAGAAUGUAAUGAUUUAUUUAUGAUCUGUGCUGUGAUUUGUGUGUUAUUGUUGAUGGUUGUUUGUGUUUUGUGGAAUUGAUGGAAUUUUAAUUUGAUUGAGAAAGAAGCUCGGUUAAUGUUAGGCGUUUUUUUUUUUUUUUUUUUUUUUUUUUGUCAAAUCUGAAGUGUUUUUAGUAAAUUGGUAAAUAAAUUGGUGAGAGUUUUGAGUGGUAAUUUUACACAUUGAUGAAGUGUUUUGUUGUUCAAGAAUUUUAGGUAAUGCUUAAAUUAGGUUUUAUUUGUACCAUUAUUGUUAAAUUCGGUUUGAAAUUUUGUGUUCUUUUGUAAGAGUGAUGUAUGAUGUGGUGGAGACUCGAUCUCCUUAGAUUAACUCCCAAUCAAAUGUGGAUCAUGUCACCACGUGGCUUAGCUUGUUAUUAUUUAGGGACAGAGGAAGUAGUUUUAUAUUACUUGUUAUAGUGGUAUAUGAAUUUGUCGGGCAGCAGAAUAGAGGUAAUACUAAAAUACAGCUUAUUGGUAGAUGGUGUCCUGAUUAGCCGAUUAUUGAGUAAUGACUGAAAUGUAUGGCAUGUUUGUUUUAUUUUUUUGAUUACCGGAAUGCAAUUUUUGAUGAAGUGUAUGGUAUGCUACAUUUUUACAGGUCAGGAAACAUUGCUGCAGAGAUGUCGAGAGCUGGAAAACAUCCAAGAUACAAGCAAUAGAUAGUGCUAAUCUAGAUCAGAUUUGUAAGAUGUGUUCUAUUUAAGCUCCCUUGCCAGAUUAUCAAGAAUAUUGAGUCAUUAAAGAACUCAUAAUUAUACAUCAAAAAAUUUUGUUGAUCUUAAAUUAGUGUCACAGUUUCUAAAUUUAAAUGUUUUGCUAA